rnacentral:tRNA from 1 species
GCCCAGAUGGUGGAAUUGGUAGACACGCUACUUUGAGGGGGUAGUGGCUGCAAAGCCGUGCAAGUUCGAGUCUUGUUCUGGGCA